AGAUUUUUGCUUGACCGCCGAUGGUCGGCCUGCCACUGAAUUUUAAUGGCCGCAGUAUAUUAACUGUGCAAAGGUAGCAUAAUCAUUAGUCUUUUAAUUGGAGGCUGGUAUGAAUGGUUGGACGAAAUAUUAACUGUUUCAAAUAAAAUUAUUUUAGAAUUUUAUUUUUUAGUUAAAAAGCUAAAAUUUAAUUAAAAGACGAGAAGACCCUAUAAAUCUUAAUAAUUUUAUUUAUUUAAUUUAUAAAGAAUAAUUAUUUUUAGAUAUUUUAAAUUAUUUUAUUGGGGUGAUAUUAAAAUUUAAUGAACUUUUAAUUUGUUAAAUCAUUAAUUUAUGAAUAAUUGAUCCAAUUUUAUUGAUUAAAAAUUUAAGUUACUUUAGGGAUAACAGCGUAAUUUUUUUGGAGAGUUCUUAUCGAUAAAAAAGAUUGCGACCUCGAUGUUGGAUUAAGAGAUACUUUUAGGUGUAGCUGCUUAAAUAUUAAGUCUGUUCGACUUUUAAAUUCUUACGUGAUCUGAGUUCAGACCGGA
rnacentral:rRNA from 1 species